rnacentral:rRNA from 1 species
GACGUAGGGCGCGAGCGUUGUCCGGAUUUAUUGGGCGUAAAGAGCUCGUAGGCGGCUUGUUGCGUCGUCCGUGAAAACCCGUGGCUCAACUGCGGGCUUGCGGUCGAUACGGGCAGGCUGGAGUUCGGUAGGGGAGACUGGAAUUCCUGGUGUAGCGGUGAAAUGCGCAGAUAUCAGGAGGAACACCGGUGGCGAAGGCGGGUCUCUGGGCCGAUACUGACGCUGAGGAGCGAAAGCGUGGGGAGCAAACAGG